AGGAGUUGUGGGGUGGCAGCUUCUUCAUGGGGUCGAUCCCCAUAUUCUCCAUCCAUCUACGGGCUUCUCUCGGAUCCUCGUAAAAAAUUCACUAAAUCACCUGUUCUCACUUUU